rnacentral:rRNA from 1 species
AUUGAACGCUGGCGGCAGGCCUAACACAUGCAAGUCGAGCGGAUGAAGGGAGCUUGCUCCUGGAUUCAGCGGCGGACGGGUGAGUAAUGCCUAGGAAUCUGCCUGGUAGUGGGGGAUAACGUCCGGAAACGGGCGCUAAUACCGCAUACGUCCUGAGGGAGAAAGUGGGGGAUCUUCGGAUCUCACGCUAUCAGAUGAGCCUAGGUCGGAUUAGCUAGUUGGUGGGGUAAAGGCCUACCAAGGCGACGAUCCGUAACCGGUCUGAGAGGAUGAUCAGUCACACUGGAACUGAGACACGGUCCAGACUCCUACGGGAGGCAGCAGUGGGGAAUAUUGGACAAUGGGCGAAAGCCUGAUCCAGCCAUGCCGCGUGUGUGAAGAAGGUCUUCGGAUUGUAAAGCACUUUAAGUUGGGAGGAAGGGCAGUAAGUUAAUACCUUGCUGUUUUGACGUUACCAACAGAAUAAGCACCGGCUAACUUCGUG